UACGGAGGGUGCAAGCAUUGAUCGGAAUUACUGGGCGUAAAGGCGCGUAGGCGCAAGGUAAGUCAGGUGUGAAAUUCCGCAGCUCAACUGCGGAGCGGCACUUGAAACUGCCAUGCUAGAGGAUAGUUAGGGAAAACGGAAUUCACGUGUAGCGGUGAAAUGCGUAGAUAUGUGGAAGAACACCUGUGGUGAAGACGGUUUUUUCUGGGCUAGUAACUGACGCUGAGGCGCGAAAGCUAGGGGAG
rnacentral:rRNA from 1 species